GAGAAGUUGGCAGAACAAGUGCCCCCGACUUAGGAUCGGGUUAUGUUAUACUUUAUAACACUCUCUA
rnacentral:tRNA from 1 species